UGAUAAGUUACUAAGGGCACACAGGGAAUGCCUUGGCUCUGAGAGGCGAAGAAGGACGUGAUAAGCUGCGAUAAGGUACGGGGAUAAGCAAAUAUUAAUUGAUCCGUACAUUUCCGAAUGGGGGAACCCAAUACAUUGAAGAUGUAUUACCCGAAAGGGGGCAAACGCGCUGAACUGAAACAUCUAAGUAGGCGUAGGAAGAGAAAACAAUAGUGAUUUCCGGAGUAGCGGCGAGCGAAAUGGAAAUAGCCCAAACCGUAAUUGUUUCGGCAAUUACGGGGUUGUAGGACUACGAUAUGGAAUUAUAAAUUAUAGUGGAACAACUUGGAACGGUUGGCUAUAGAGGGUGAAAGCCCCGUACACGAAAUAUUUUAUAUACCUAGUAGUAUCCUGAGUAGGGCGGGACAUGUGAAAUCCUGUCUGAAUCUACCAGAACCAUCUGGUAAGGCUAAAUACUCCUCAGAGACCGAUAGCGAACGAGUACCGUGAGGGAAAGGUGAAAAGAACCCUGAACAAGGGAGUGAAAAAGAUCCUGAAACUGUGUGUCUACAAGCGGUCGAAGCCUACGGGCGACGGCGUGCCUUUUGCAUAAUGAUCCUACGAGUUACUCCUCAUUGGCAAGGUUAAGUGUUUAAGACACGGAGCCGAAGCGAAAGCGAGUCUGAAUAGGGCGAACUAGUCAGUGGGGGUAGACGCGAAACCUUGUGAUCUACCCAUGGCCAGGUUGAAGUUCCGGUAACACGGAAUGGAGGACCGAACCGAUAAGCGUUGAAAAGCUUUCGGAUGAGCUGUGGGUAGGGGUGAAAGGCCAAUCAAACUGGGAAAUAGCUCGUACUCCCCGAAAUGCAUUUAGGUGCAGCGUUGAGGUAGAGUUUUAUAGAGGUAGAGCUACUGAUUGGACUAGGGGGCUUCACCGCCUACCAAAUCCUGACAAACUCCGAAUGCUAUAAAAUAUACUCAGCAGUGAGGGCAUGGGUGCUAAGGUCCAUGUCCGAGAGGGAAAGAACCCAGACCAUCAGCUAAGGUCCCCAAAUAUAUACUAAGUUGUUUAAACGUUGUGCGAUUGCAUUGACAGCUAGGAUGUUGGCUUGGAAGCAGCCAUUCAUUUAAAGAGUGCGUAACAGCUCACUAGUCGAGCGAUCGUGCGUGGAUAAUAAGCGGGCAUUAAGUAUAUUACCGAAGCUGUGGAUUCAGUGCUAUGCACUGUCUGGUAGGGGAGCA
rnacentral:rRNA from 1 species